ACCUUAAAACCGAACCAAUAUCCAGAUUAAACAAAUUUAAUAUUUUUUUAUUAAAAAUAACGAAAUUAAUAAUCACAUUCCGCGCAAAACGCGGAUUAUUACCUAGUUUUUAUUAAUAUAUGUGCAAAUCAUAAAACAUCAAUUUUUCAGAUUCUGAAGGAGUAAAUUCCCUUUAAAUAUAGUUAAAGACGUAAUGGCUAAGAGACACUAGGGCGUCAUUAGUUUGGUUGGGUCAACAUUUGGUUGUUGUCGUGUUGAACACAAAAUUGAGUCCUUUCACAUUCAACUAUCCUGUUUGAGCUUUAUUUAUUGACUGGAAUCAUUAUCAUCGUCUACGAGAAACACACGGGCAUGUAUUUGACCUUAUUUUCAUAUUACUAGUUGACCUCCUAUUUACGCAAACUCGUCAACCAUACAUAGUGGACACACUGGAUAUCUAAUACUUAGUUCUGAAUCUGGUGGUAAGAAAUCUAACCAAGUAAGAAAACUUAUGUGACGUAUUUUUCAUAGUUUCUACCAGUUCUCAAUUUUCUCUCUUUCUUGUUGUUCUUAACUUAGUACUUUUUGUGUGUGUUUGAGUUUCUGUUGAACGCGAAUUAAAAGACUAGUACAAUCACUUUUAUAUUAAAGAUAAGUUUCUAAAGACGCUUUCUUUUGAAUUUUUCUUUACAAAAAGUUAUAAACUAUUAGCCAUUGUUGUUUAACUUUUUAAUGUUUUCACAAAACUUAAAGUAUGAUCAGAGCCGUGCUUUCUAGCUUACGAAAAAGGCGGUUGCCUUAGGUCCCCAGUUCUAACACAAGUUUAGAGGCCCCCAAUUUUUACAUUUGUUUUGAUUUAGCCAUUAUAUUCGACUAUUACAUAUUUAUAACAAAAAUUGUUUUCUUCUAUGGGAUUUUAGAUUCUAAAUGUACAUCUCAUCUAGCUUCAUUUUAUUUAGCUAUUUUUGUUUUAUUGUACAAUUUCACACUUACUCUUAAUACAUUUUGAUUAUCAUAAAAUGAAUAUAUAUGGACAUAUUUUUCCUUUCUGCUAUAUAAUUAAUUUCUUAUUUUUAAUAUGUUUCUAUCACCAAUUUUAAUGCUAUAUAAAUAAAUUUAUAAAAAUAUAUAUUAUAUUUUUUAUUAUUAAGUAUUUUAUCCAUUAAAAUUAUUUUUAUAAUAAAUUUUACAUUUAAUAAUUUUUUUACAUUGAAUUUUGCCUUAGGCCCCAAGAAAGCUAAGCACGGCACUGAGUAUGAUAAAGACAUAUAGCUUCUUCAGAAUUUUUUACAUAUCAUUUUUCAAGUUUAAUUAUCCCAAAAGCUUAUUUAUGUUUUCAAUAUCUAUUUAUAACUUUUACAUAACUUUUAUUAUAAUAAUUUACAAACUCCCAAAUUUACAUAUAUAGUCUUCCAAAUUAACUACCAAAAUUCUAAAAUUUUCAAUAUAUAACAAAAUUGUGACUGUUCAAAAAAAUCAAAACUAGUUUAGAUCAUAGGCCCAUUAUCCAAAGUAUAAGAGAGAAAUUUAAGCGGGAAAUUAAAAUUUAAGCUUGGCUUGGGUAAUAUUUGCUUGUUAGAUGGAUCUUGGACAUCUUAUGUUCACUUUAGUCGAUGCGGAUGGAUAUGGAUGGACAGUGCUGGCAACAUGCAACUUAUGGGGACAAGAAAUUUCACUCUACGCGACUCAGCCUUGCAUUCGGAAGUAGAAGCACUGCGAUGGGCGAUGGAGAAUAUGCUUCAACACUCAACUUGCCAGAGCUUCGGGACAGACAGCAAGGAGCUGAUAGCAAUGAUAAAAGACUCUCAGGCUUGGCUAAGCUUUGCGACGGAAUUAGAGAGGAUAGAAACGUUAAAAAUAUGCUUUCUGGACUUCAAAUUUAUUCAUGUUCCACGGGCGCGUAAUCAGAUUUCAGAUCUUUUAGCUAAGACUGCUAGAUCCUUCCAUAUGGAGUUACUUUUUAUUGGUUGUUCUAUUCCGGUUUGGUUACCCAUACCACCUCAAGUUUGAGUAAUAGAAUGGCCUUUCAACGAAAAAAAAUAACACAUUAAUUUAAGCUGAAUCAUUAGUUUUUAAAAAGCCAUAAUUUUAAGCUGAAUCAUUAGUUUUAAUAAAAAGAAUCAUUUAUUACGAAAUGAUUAAUUAAUGGAUAUUAACUUUUAAAUGAUUUUUGAUUUGUCAAUUUCUUCACGAUUUUAGGAUCAUACAUUAGUUUUAAUAAACAACUAGAUUUUGAUCGGCGCUAGGAAAGCGCAGAUUUGUUUUGAAAUAAAAAAAAUUAUUUUAAAUAAAUUUCUAUCUAAUAUAUUGUAUAGAUUUGAUCACAUUUAUCCGGAACCACAAAUUAAGCUCUACCAAACUGAAAAUCCUGAAAAUAAAAAAUAAACUGAAUUUCAUUAGUAGCGGAGAACCAAAUAGGUAACUGAAUUUUUAAAAUACAAAGUAUAUAUAUACUAAUAUUAAUUACAUUUAUUUUAUAAAUAGCCAAAUAUUUUUAAAAUACUAUAUAUAAACCGAAUUACCCAAAUGUUUUGUAUUUAAUUUAUUAAAAUUAUUUGAAUUAUAGAAUAUUUUUUAUCCGAACAACCGAAAUUACAUGAUAUUUAAAUUGAUAAUCCCAAAUUAUCCAAUAAUUUUAUCUAUAAAUUCGUAAUAUCUCGAAACCCAGAAUCGAACAAUAAUUGAAUUGGACCCAUUUUGUUUUGCAUAUUAAGUGUUUCUCAACUAUGCUAAUGAACCAAACAAAUAAAAAACAACCCAACUAAAACCAAACCAACUAUUCCUAAAUUUCGUGAACCAAAACACCAAAACCCAAAAUAGUCAAACCAAAACCGAAUGCUAAAGACUAACAGUGCAUCUGCAUCUAAAUAGUACAAAAAGUAUUCUAUUUUUACAAAUUGUUUAACCCCUUCUACUGAGAGUGCAUAUCUAUACUAUUAAAGCAGAAUCCUCUUCAGGAUUAUGCCCCUGAAUUUUCUUAUUAAUUGCAAAACAUUCCAGUCCAGAAACUUUUGAAUUAUUUAAAAGCCUUUUACGAAAAUGUAAAGCCCACCUAUUCUAUACUAUCAGAAAUUUAAGCCCACCACUUCUAUAAUAUAGUUUUUGAAAAUUUAAGGAAUAUUUUCGAAUUUACAACCCAUUUAGUACUAUAAGAUUUUCAAAAUCAAAUCAAAUAAAGAGAAUAUUCCCAAUCUUGAGGAACACUCAUAAAAUAUAACCGAAAAUCUCUCUAAAUAUAUGAAGAUUUGAUUUUCCAAAUCGACAUCCCUCAACUUUCUCCCCAAGUUUACAAUCAAACCUAACACCUAGCUUAAAUUCCAAUCAAUACUAUAAAUAUCCUUCACCAGUUUCCUGUUCAAAGCGCAACCUUCCAACAAACAAAAAAAUAAAUCUAUGGCUACUAAAAAUAUUUCACCUUCGAUGAAAAUCCAAGCAUGUAAAGGUGCUACACGCUUGGAAACAAUACAUUCAAUCCGUAGAGACAAUGGAAUUCGUCUUGGCUGAUGAGACUGUAAGCGUUCCUUACUGUAUUUAUCAGUCGAUUUUGUCUUAUUUAACAUUUUGGGAUUGACUACUAAUAUUUCAAUUUCAUAUGGUUUUUGUUUUAGGGGCAAAAAAUUCAUGCAACAUGUAAACAGACUUACAUUGAAAGUAAGGGAAGGAUCCUUACGGUUGGAGCAUGGCGCUACAUCCGGAAUUUCCAGAUUACUCCUGCUGGUGGAACUUAUCGAACCACAGAUCAUACCUGGAAAAUUGUUUUCAAUCAAAAUACGGCCGUUUCGCGAUCUAAUCACGUUAAUGAUGAGCUGUAUCUGAAUUUGUCAGACUUUCAAACUGUUUUGUCUGGAACACUUGAUGAGAAUUUUUUAAUUGGUAAACAUAUAAAUGUUUUCUGUUUUGCCACUAUCUAUUUGUAACAAUCUAUACUAACGUUUACAGUUUUUUUACAGAUGUGCUCGGUCAAGUUUUGGAUUGUGGUGGUGUCGAAAAUAUUCAGUGUACCGGGGGAAAGCAACGAAAAAAACUUGAAUUCACCCUAAGUGACAUCAAUGAUUCGCGUUUACCAUGCUGCAUAUGGGGCAACUUAGCCGAGAUACUCCAUUCUGCAAUCAACCAAGAAGUUGGUAUGGUUACUAUGCUGCUCAGGUUUGCUAAGCUUGGGAGAUUUAGGGGGGAACUGCAAAUCUCUAACGCUUUUGAUGCUUCUCAAAUGAUGAUCAACCCGUCAAUACCUGAAGCUGAAGCAUUUAAAGAAUUGAUCAAUGACGAUGACAAAACUCUAACCUCAUUCCAAAGUAAUGAGGACAACAACAAACAAGUUGCUCAGUCAGGAAAGCGAGGACAGCGUGAUAAGUGGUUACUCUUUCCCACUAAGAGCAUCUACGAAAUGAUAACAUCAACUCAAGUAAGCAGUUAUUAAGUGAUUUUGGUGUCUCUCCUAUAUUAUGCAGGUGAGGAAAAAAUUUACUUAAGCUCUGAUUCAAUCGACGCUUCUGAUAGAUUUUCAAAGAAAGACCAGGCUCUCACUCCAGAUUUUUUUAACAGAAUUAAAGCGUCAGGACUGCCAAAUCAUAGCUGCGACUGAAAGUUGGUUGUCCAGUCAUGUUGCUAAGGAAUAUAGAUCCUGUUGGGGGAUUGAUGAAUGGAACUCGGCUCCAGAUUACAGAGCUGUAUGACUUCAUGAUAAUGGCAAAGGUUAUUACAGGGGAAAAGGUUGGUCGAACUGUGUUGAUUCCCAGGCUUUCAAUAACUCCUUCAGACAAAAAAUUGCCAUUCAAAAUGAGGAGGAGACAACUGCCUAUUGGUGUGGCUUUCGCUAUUACUAUCAAUAAAAGUCAAGGACAAACAUUGUCUGAAGUUGGUAUAUUUCUACCAAGACCGGUUUUUUCACACGGUCAACUAUACGUGGCUGUUUCUAGAGUGACUUCUAAGAAAGGCUUGAAGAUGCUGAUUGCUGACAGCGAAGGCAAGCCUCAACGCCAAACAAAGAAUGUUGUCUUUAGAGAGGUUUUCGAUAAUCUAUGAUCUAUGUUUUCAGUUCUGUUUUUAGAAACUUGCAGAUGUUUUGCUUUAUAUGAAGAAUUUGGUUUUAUGUUUUACGUUUAAUAAACGUUUUAAGAUUCAUAACAGAACGUUGUGAGUUUUUGGUGAUGAUGUGAAGCCUCAGAAACAAACAUAUUAUUUUUGUUGUUAAGAAUA